UGAGGAAUAUUGGUCAAUGGGCGAGAGCCUGAACCAGCCAAGUAGCGUGCAGGAUGACGGCCCUAUGGGUUGUAAACUGCUCUUAUAUGGGAAUAAAGUGAGGGACGUGUCCCUUAUUGCAUGUACCAUACGAAUAAGGACCGGCUAAUUCCGUGCCAGCAGCCGCGGUAAUACGGAAGGUCCAGGCGUUAUCCGGAUUUAUUGGGUUUAAAGGGAGCGUAGGCUGUUUGUUAAGCGUGUUGUGAAAUGUAGGAGCUCAACUUUUAGAUUGCAGCGCGAACUGGCAGACUUGAGUGCGCACAACGUAGGCGGAAUUCAUGGUGUAGCGGUGAAAUGCUUAGAUAUCAUGACGAACUCCGAUUGCGAAGGCAGCUUACGGGAGCGCAACUGACGCUAAAGCUCGAAGGUGCGGGUAUCGAACAGG
rnacentral:rRNA from 1 species